CUAAAUCAAUAAGGCUACGCUAAGCACAAUACACGCAAAUGGAGGAGGACAAUUACAUUACCGACAAAAUUCACUUCUUCAUUCUGAUUGAUAGAGAUAUGAAACAGGUAAAACUACAAAUAGAGCGAUCGCAAAGCUCUAAUAAGUUCUUCAUAUAAAAAAGAGGUUCUAUUUAGUUACAUGGCUGAAAACCCACUUAAACUAGCCAAGGAAGGGAUUACAGAGUUCAGACUAGAGAAUCAAGAUAAAAUAAAGAAGGAAUAGAAUAUCUCUGACCUGCAGCUGAGAAGUUUACUAGUUUUGCCAGCAGAGACUUCUUCUACCCUCCUGCAUGAUCUCGAAAGCGAGUUUGUAUCUUUCCAAAGAUGCUGCUCCUGCCUCAAUAAAAUUACGGGCUUCUUCUCGUAAACUCCAAAACAUCAGGGGCUUGAAAUCUUGAGAACCACCUGCUGAAUCAGCAUCUCGGAGUAUUCCAUAUUUCGCAUUUUUGGUCCAUCGAUGCAAGAUAUAGCGAGAUGGAAGUUCCCUUAUGUUCAUUAUUUGAAAUACCUUCAAAGCAUGCCUGCAAAGAACACCCUCAAACUCAAACAUUUUACAACUACAACUGAUAUUGAGAUUGGAUGCAUUAAAGGCAACGGUAUUCCUCUCAUCUCCAUUUCCGCACUUCUGUACCAGAUAUCUACUGAUGGCUCCUUCGACAUUUAUUUUUAUUCCCGCAUAGCUAUAGCAUUCUAAAAGCUCUUUCUGAAAUACUUUGAACAUUGUGACAGUGUAAAGCCUUCUACACUGUUCUUCUAUGGGGUCUUUUGUAUGCAAAACUGCUUGCAUAUUAAACGAGUUAAAAUCCUCCUUCCUUUCCUCUUCGCGGCGUUGUUCAAGAGCUUUCUCAUAUCUUACAACAAAUUCACUGAGAGGUGUUUGGGCUGUCAAUAGCGGACCGAAAUAUGAUUUCAAACUUCCAUCCACAGGAAUGCCAGCAAAGAAUGCACCCUUUAUGUGCAGGGGAACCCAACUUUUACGCAUUCUGUACAUCUCCUUCAACCAAGCAUUCUCUCUCAAGUUAUAUUUAUUCAUAAGCAUAUUCCAUGCAAAAUCAAAUUCACU
rnacentral:lncRNA from 1 species